UACGUAGGGGGCAAGCGUUGUCCGGAAUUAUUGGGCGUAAAGAGCGCGUAGGCGGUCCGAUAAGUCGGCUGUGAAAGUCAGGGGCUCAACCCUUGAAAGCCGGCCGAUACUGUCGGACUAGAGUCCGGAAGAGGCAAGUGGAAUUCCCGGUGUAGCGGUGAAAUGCGCAGAUAUCGGGAGGAACACCAAUGGCGAAGGCGGGUCUCUGGACAGUUCCUGACGCUGAGGCACGAAGGCCAGGGGAGCAAACGGG
rnacentral:rRNA from 1 species